GGGAUGGUUGAGGGUGCAGGGGGUAACCUAUACUGGUGUGACGGUUAAAUAAUAUGAAAAAAAUUAAGCCAAGGGGAAACAAAGAUUUGACACCUUCAGUGGGAACUGCCGCUACGGAUUGUCUACUUUCAUCUUCAGAUGAACAUGAUUCUCUUUUUGCCCUUUCUUACCCAAGGAUUGAAUUGUCAAAGACCAGGAUUGUUCUCUUUUCAAAUUAUGAUUCUACUGGAUUUUACAAAGAGAACAGGAUGUGCAGGACCAUCUGACUGUGGGGCUCGGCGUUUGGGCCCCGGCCUCUCCUGCUGCUCUGUGCUGGUUCUCCAUGCCAGCGUCUGCUGUGAUCACUUGGAGGUUGCAACACCAUAGGCUAUUGGUUUCUCUAUAACAGCCAUUCUCUUUAUUUCAAGGUUCCCAACCAUUAGAAAUGGACCUAAACUGAUGUGAUUGAAUAGAACGAAAUUAUAUUAAGCGGUCAAAAGAAUUUUUGAUCCAAAAUCACAAGCCAAUUUGCAACAUUUUUAAGGAAACACACAAGAUCAAUAAAAGCAGACAUCAGGGGACAACAAAUGAUCGGUCUGUAGCUGAAAAGCAGGAUACAUUUAGAUCUGGAGGACAUUACCCCUGGAAGACUUUCCCUUGGCCUAGAAUGAGAAGACACACAAGGACAUUUCAAGUUGGACUUACAAACAGAAAUCUCCCUACAGGUGCAAUUCUGGUUUCUGAGAUCUGACUUUUAAUGGUCACGGCUACACUCUGGCCUACUGUAAAUCCACUCAGAUAGAUCCCACUCAUGAUAAGAGAGAGAACAAACCCUGUUACCCUACACUCAUACCAAAUGACACGGGACCCAAACAUCCUUCUAAAACAAUGAUGAAGUGAUUUAUGGUAUCCCUACUAUGCCAAGGGGAUACGCCACAAUAUCUAAAGGCGAUGCCAUAGUCUCCCUGUUCAUCUUUUACUUUGAUGUCCACUUCACCCUAAUGUUACAUUUGUGAUUGGAUUUAAUAAUACAAUGUAUGUUCAAAGUAGAGUUAGCUUCACAAAUGACAGCAUAUAUAGGCUUCAUUAACAGUACAUGUGGAUUUUGAUUAAUUUAUUCCAUGUAUUAGAUUCAUUUCUUUGGUUUGGUUCUGGGAAGGGGCAAGGGGACGUUUGCUAUUAGAUAGCUUCCUCGUAAAAAUAACCACUUCAGUCAGUCAUAACCUAGUGUGAGAAAUGAAGAUCUCCACCCUGUCAAAGUCUGUCAGCCUCAAUGCAUUCACACACACACACUAAACACACACACACACACACACGCACACAAACGCACAGACACACACACACACACACACACACAACUCAGCAGUCAAUUUGCUGGAAUCCCUGGAUACAGGCCGUCCUGCUUCACAGAUUAUUGUGCAUUAGUGUGCAAUCAUCUCCACCAAACUACACCAGCCCAGCCCAACUCAGCCCAGCUCAGAGCCCUGAGCAGCAGCCACACCACUGGGCUGGAGACCCAGAGUUUCUGGGAGUAUGAAGGCUAUUGGAUCAUGAGGGUUCACUCAUAUUAGGUUCCAUCAGCCUAAUCUGUCUGGCAGUCUGCCAGUAGGACACAGAUAUGGUGGGAGGCUCAAGAGACAACAAGGCAGUGUACUCACAUUUCAAGAUCUAUAUGGAAAAGUCCAGUUUCCACUGCCUAUCUGCUCUGUCUGUUACACUGACCAUACUGUUGGACAGUAUGUCCAGUUGAAAAGGGAUAGGAAAGAGGUGUCUUCUCUUACUCAGAUCUGGGUGCCAUUUUGGAGCGGAGGAUUCUAACUGACAGUGAGGGGAAAGGAGCGAUGCAAUUCCUUGACAUCUUGUUGAAAACCUCUCGUCAUUCUAUAGCUUAAAGUAGUUAAAUGUUGCUUGAACACCCCAACAACUAAAUAAGUGUUGGUCCUUGCCAUUAAAUAAUUUGGUAGUUACCUGGAGGGUGUAUGACCUCUUCAGGGCAGUAAUAACAAGUGAAGUUUGAACUUUUAUUUUGAAGUUUUUGUCUGGUGUUUUUGUCUCGUCAUUUAGAGUUUGUGUCAAUUAAGGGUGGUCUUGGCACAGCUGCAUUAAGGAAAGAAGAAAAUAUAAAAAAGAUCUAAAAGAUCUAGCUCACUUUGAACAAGAAGGUCUUUGUCUACAGUCCUAAUCCUCGUCGAGGUCUUAAGUCCAUGUUUGAAAUUCUUUCCUUUUGUUUUCUCAUCUGACGCAUGUUAUAUGUGAUACUGUGUUUAACCCGAUCAGUGUUUUCAAGUGGCAGCACCUCAGAGGGUGAGGUCUGACCAUGGUGCAGUAUGUGUAAUAAACAUUGCUGAUUCUGUCUCAA